rnacentral:rRNA from 1 species
CCUACGGGCGGCAUCAGUGAGGAAUAUUGGUCAAUGGACGAGAGUCUGAACCAGCCAAGUAGCGUGAAGGAUGACUGCCCUAUGGGUUGUAAACUUCUUUUAUAUGGGAAUAAAAUGUUCCACGUGUGGGAUUUUGUAUGUACCAUAUGAAUAAGGAUCGGCUAACUCCGUGCCAGCAGCCGCGGUAAUACGGAGGAUCCGAGCGUUAUCCGGAUUUAUUGGGUUUAAAGGGAGCGUAGGUGGAUUGUUAAGUCAGUUGUGAAAGUUUGCGGCUCAACCGUAAAAUUGCAGUUGAAACUGGCAGUCUUGAGUACAGUAGAGGUGGGCGGAAUUCGUGGUGUAGCGGUGAAAUGCUUAGAUAUCACGAAGAACUCCGAUUGCGAAGGCAGUUCACUGGACUGCAACUGACACUGAGGCUCGAAAGUGUGGGUAUCAAACAGGAUUAGAUACCCGGGUAGUC